rnacentral:SRP_RNA from 1 species
GCUGGGCGCGGUGGCACGUGCCUGUAGUCCCAGCUACUCGGGAGGCUGAGGUGGGAGGAUCACUUGAGCCCAGGAGUUCUGGGCUGAAAUGCGCUAUGCCGAUCGGGUGUCCACACUAAGUUCAGCAUCAAUAUGGUGACCUCCCAGGAGCAGGGGACCACCAGGUUGCCUAAGGAGGGGUGAGCCAGCCCAGGUCAGAAACAGAGCAGGUCAAACCUCCUGUGCUGAUCAGUAGUGGGAUCGCGCCUGUGAAUAGCCACUGUGCUCCAGCCUGGGCAACACAGUGAGACCCCCUCCCU